rnacentral:lncRNA from 1 species
CUUCCACUGUGGGCUGCCUCGCUCAGCUCUUUCUCAGCUAGUCCCUCCUCAUCUUCGUUCCCACCGGGCGAGAGAAACCACCUGAGUCCCAGGCUCAGAGGCCGCUAAGGGGAAGGAGCCUCCAGGUGGCAGCAGGCCCAGCCUCUGCCUGUGCCCUGUGCAGGGCACCAGGCCUAGUACAGCAUAGGCCUCCCGAGGCUGUGUGGCAGAACCAGGACGAGAGUGUGGCUGCUGUCUUGGCUCUGAGAGAGCGAGGGCAACAGCACAAAGGCACCAGGAGACAGAGACCUUGAGCUGCACGCUGCACAGAAACUGGAGCCGGGAGCUCAGAAGGCGCGUCCUCGGGGCUGGGCAGGUGCCCCACAGCGACAGCUGCCAGCUGCCCAGAGAGCCGGAACACAACAGGCAUGACAUGGCACAGAUGCUGGUGAGGACAGAGUGACACGAGGUCCGUGUGGCGCGCUGCCUGGCAACUGCCCAGAGACCCUGCAGGUCCUGGAGGGGCUAAGGCCCCACCCAAGCUCAGGGGGUGAGGCUCCACCUGCACCUCGAGGCGGGAGAAGCGGAGGACCUCUCCAACAGGGGCACCUCAUCAGCAUGCGCCACUUCCUGCCCCUGACCUGCUCUGAGC